rnacentral:rRNA from 1 species
AUUGAACGCUGGCGGCAUGCUUUACACAUGCAAGUCGAACGGUAACAGGCCGCAAGGUGCUGACGAGCGGCGAACGGGUGAGUAAUGCAUCGGAACGUGCCCAGUCGUGGGGGAUAACUACUCGAAAGAGUAGCUAAUACCGCAUACGAUCUAUGGAUGACAGCGGGGGACCGUAAGGCCUCGCGCGAUUGGAGCGGCCGAUGUCAGAUUAGGUAGUUGGUGGGGUAAAGGCUCACCAAGCCAACGAUCUGUAGCUGGUCUGAGAGGACGACCAGCCACACUGGGACUGAGACACGGCCCAGACUCCUACGGGAGGCAGCAGUGGGGAAUUUUGGACAAUGGGCGCAAGCCUGAUCCAGCAAUGCCGCGUGCAGGAAGAAGGCCUUCGGGUUGUAAACUGCUUUUGUACGGAACGAAACGGCUCUGGUUAAUACCCGGGGCUAAUGACGGUACCGUAAGAAUAAGCACCGGCUAACUACGUG